GGGCGGUUAGCUCAGUUGGUUAGAGCGCCACGUUGACAUCGUGGAGGCCAUAAGUUCGAGUCUUAUACCGCCCA
rnacentral:tRNA from 1 species